rnacentral:RNase_P_RNA from 1 species
GUGAGCUAACGGACGGCUGUCGGGCCGUAAGGCCUGAGGAAACUCCGCCCACCGCACAGACCGCAACGCCGCAAGGCGUAGGGCGAGAGCCCUGGCUCCAGAACAGAAACGGAACGUCCAUCAAGCCGGUGACGUUGAGGCGUGCUAAGUCGCCGAGUAGGCUUGAUGGAAACGGUGAAACGGCUGUCCUGCGGGGUGGAAGGGCAAGUAGGCGUCGAUGAGUCUGUGCGAGACGCGGGUGGCCCGUAUAGUCGAAUGCCGUCUAAAACAGAAGGCGGGUUACGGUUAGCACAC